rnacentral:rRNA from 1 species
GACGAACGCUGGCGGCGUGCUUAACACAUGCAAGUCGAACGGAAAGGCCCUGCUUUUGUGGGGUGCUCGAGUGGCGAACGGGUGAGUAACACGUGAGUAACCUGCCCUUGACUUUGGGAUAACUUCAGGAAACUGGGGCUAAUACCGGAUAGGAGCUCCUGCUGCAUGGUGGGGGUUGGAAAGUUUCGGCGGUUGGGGAUGGACUCGCGGCUUAUCAGCUUGUUGGUGGGGUAGUGGCUUACCAAGGCUUUGACGGGUAGCCGGCCUGAGAGGGUGACCGGGCACAUGGGGGCGGAGAGAGGGCGAAGAGGGCAAGGGGAGGCAGGAGGGGGGAGUUUUGCAAAGAGGGCGGACGGGUGAUAAAGCAAUGUCGCGUGCGGGAAGGCGGGAGUGGGGUUGAAAACCGAAUUAGCCUGGGAUAAAGAGGGGGGGGCGGUAAUGGUAAAAGAAGAACCGGCGAACUACGUG